rnacentral:rRNA from 1 species
GACGAACGCUGGUGGCGUGCUUAACACAUGCAAGUCGAACGAAGUGGCGAACGGGUGAGUAACGCGUAAUCAACCUGCCCUUCAGAGGGGGACAACAGUUGGAAACGCCUGCCAAUACCGCAUACUGAAGGAGGGGACUGCGUCUGAUUAGCUAGUUGGUGGGGUAACGGCCCACCAAGGCGAUGAUCAGUAGCCGGUCUGUGAGGAUGAACGGACACAUGGGGACUGAGAAACGGCCCAGAAUCCUACGGGAGGCAGCAGUUGGGAAUCUGCCGCAAUGGACGAAAGUCUGACGGAGCAACGCCGCGUGAGUGAUGACGGCCUUCGGGUUGUAAAGAUCGGUUAAUCGGGACGCGGUACCGGAAUAGAAAGCCACGGCUAACUACGUGCCAGCAGCCGCGGUAAUAC